rnacentral:lncRNA from 1 species
GUCACAUUGUCUCAUCACAAAAUUGGAUUGCACAGAACUCAAAUGGAGAGGACGUUCAAACUCAGGAAUGUGGAGCACUCAUCAUCUGCUGUGGUCAAAGAGACAAUCUGUGAAGAAAGUGAACAAGGCAGAUGGAGAUAAAUUCAAAAACAGAGAUCCGAAAGGCUGCUAAGAGAGAAAGGAACAGGAAUCUCCCAGUUCCUGAGAGCCUCCCAGGCUUUCUCCCUCGAUGUUUGUGAGUUUUCCUGACAGCUUUACGCUCUUGGUCCAUAGGAAAAAUUUGUGACCUGGAUAUAUGUGUGUAUGCGUGUGUGUGUUUGAAGAAAGGUCAUGAGAUUUAUGUCAAUUUAAGUUAGUUUCUAUUCUUUAUACAAAUGAAAUGUCUUAAAACAUAUUGGUAAUACUUUGCUAUUUUAAUUUAACUUUGGUGCUUUUUUUUUUCUUGUUUGAUAACUUUCUAACAAACAUUGCAAAACCCUAGCAUUUUCUCGACUCUUCUUUCAGAUCCAUUAUUCCCCAGCUCAAGAACACACCAACCCCAAGUCCUCUCUCACCCUCCUUUUUGGGCUCCAGCAUCUCUGCCUUUGCUCAGCUCUUUCAAACACCUACAUUGCCUGCUCCCAGAGCUUCCAGUUAGUCUCCUACUCAAGUUCAAACUCAAUAGUCCCUCCUCUGCAACGUCUUCCAAAUCAUUCAGGAGGAAUUGAUAAUUUUCUUAUUUGUACUCACACUGCAUUUUAUAUAUUGCCUUAUACUAUAUUAUGUUUUUGUUAGUGGUUAAAUUGUUUCCCUCCCAAGGUCAGAGACUGGGCAGUCUGUGUACUAUUUGUCCUUUUAACCCGAUUACUUAGGUUGGUGUCUGGGACAUAAUAAGUGCUCAAAAACAUCAAAAUAUGUUUCUGUAUGACAGAACUCAGCAGUAUCACUGGGAGUUCAUUUAUGUGUAUGUGAGAUUUUGUGAACUCUCUAUAUAAAUGAAGUAUGCUAUUUUGAAGUAGCAUAUAUAUGUUAAGAACUAUAUAUGGCAUAUGGUGUUCAACAUAAUCAGCAAAUAUAGUAUUUAUUGAAAAUGGAGGGAUACAUUUUUAAAAAGUUUUCUGAUAACAAUAAGACAGAUUAGGGUUUUCUGCUCUUUUUCUAAUAAAACUAAAAAAUUAAAAACAUAGAGUCUGAAAAAAUUAACUUUUUGAAUUAGACUUACUUAUUCAAAUUGGAAGAUUGUUUCAUUAUUCAUACUAUUAAGAAAUAUAUAUAUAUUUGUAUGUGUGCAUGCAUACAAAGAUUUUAAAAUGUGAAGUAUACAUUAUUUUCUUCAGUUCAGCCAAAAAUGUUUUUACAAAUUUACCUCCAAUUCUUAUUUUAUUAUUCUGAACCCUCUACAUUUGGCAGCAUAUUAUUGUUAUUUUUAAUCAGUGUAUAAACAUCCCAGCAAGAAAGUCUUUCUUGUUAAAGAGAUAUUAAUCAAAAGAUACAACUUUUUCAUUACACAGAAGGAAUAAGUUCAAGAGAGCUAUUGUGCAACAUGGUGACUAUAGCUAAUAAUAAUAUUAUUGUAUUUUUGAAAAAAUGGAAAAAAGACUUGUGGGUGAAUUGAAUAAUCAUAUAUUUGGGGAAACUUAGACUUUGUAGACUUGUAGAUUCUGGCAUGAAUAAAAAAUAAAUUAUCUGGUAAAAAGCAAAAGAAACUCUUUCUCCAUUAGCCCUUUUUCUAUCUGCCUAGAGUAACACUGAGUAUUCCGGUACUAGCAGCCAGGAGGCCUAGCGUUGGCCCAUGAACUCACUUAUGAAUAGUCAUUUAAUGUGUUGCUUCUUCAGUUUAUAGCAAGGGCCUUCUCUGACGUCUUCUCUACUUCAGUCUGAAGGUUGUUGUGGAAAUAAAAAUAGGAUAAUGUGCAUGCUAGUGCUUUGAAAAGUAUAAAGUAUGAUAUAAAUGUAAGAUGUUAUUGUUAAAGGGGGUUUAAAACGACAGCAUAAAAAGACUUGUUAUAAAAAUAAAAUAAAAGUGACUCUAGUCACUUAUUUUUAUGAGGCACUUUUCUCUCUUUGGAAAAAUAUAAUUUACUAAUUCAAGAGAGAGCUAUUAAUUUCUAAGUCCUUCACAGCCAUUAAAGCAGGCAUGAUGACUUCAAUUCAGUGUACAAAUGGAGUGGGCAUACUGCAGGGGAAUGGUACUCUCAGGUUACAUAUAAAUGGAAUUAAAUUAAAUUAAUGAAAAGAGAAGAAAAGCAUGUGUAGAUAAAUAACUAACUCAUCUCCUAAGAGGCUCAAUGUCUGAACUAAGACAUGAGUUAAAAUAUAUUAAAUUUCUCACAUCUCCUUCCCGGACUCCCUCAAAUAUCAUUUAGAAAUUAUUUCUAAAAUACUAAAUAUUGAUAAAAAUAAUAUCUGUAUGAGACCUCUCACCCUAUUAUGUGUAAAAUUGUCAUUGGGUUUUAAGUUGAAUGGAGUGUGGUAUGCUUCCGAUGCACCUACAUUGAUGUAUCAAUGAGGAAACCCAAUAACUUUGAUGGUGUUUCCAAAACCCACUGUGCAAAUCACACAAUCUCAGAAAGUCAUCUUGGUAAAUGGUGAAAAACUGAACACAUGGCAAUAGGUACUUCUAAUUAGAUGAGGAUAUUAUUUAUACUUUGAUGUUAGAAUAUUCUAUUAAACUGCUUUGAAUUUUUUAUAAUUUUCAAAAUAUGAUGCCAGACUGAACAUGUGGAGAGUAAGAAAUGGAAAGUGAUUCUCUUAAGGGCAUCCUCAUUUGGUUGUUUUAUUUAUCAUGUGAUGCUUAGUGAUAUUUUGGUCCUAGCAACAAAUCCCACUGGGUUAGAGAAAAGGGAGAUAUCUGAGUGAUCAUGGGAACAUUUGUGGACCUCUCUGUGACUCAGUUUCCUUAGGAGACAAAUAGGGAUGAUGAUAUUCAAUUUUCAAGAUCUCUGUAAUGCUUGAAAGAGUUAAUGUUUGUAAACUGAACUAUACAAUGUCUCAAAUGUAGCUUUUGUUCCCAUGUCACGAUGUUGUGUAAAUACAUGUUAAAUGGCAGAUUCUAGCUGGGGGAGUAUUUUUGGCAUGCCACAGGACUCUCUAGACACAGUUAUCUCUGUUAAUAUUUUUAUCGAUAACAUAGGAAGAUAAAGAACACAUUGAGUUUGCCGAUGCAUGAAGUUAAAUGAUAUUAAAAAUUCAAUAGCUGAAUUGAUAUCCAAAAUGAAUGAAGUCUAAGAAGAGGAAAUUUCAAAGUGUAAGGCCUUGUAGUUGGAUUUUUGAAAUCCAAAUUCUGAAAAAUAGGUUGGGAAAAAUAUGGUUUAGCAAUAGUAAGUAUAUCUAUAUGUCUAUCUAUCAUUUUUUCUAUAGGUAAAAGAGAAAAAUGCCUUAUGAGUUAAAUUAAAAGUAAAAAUUUAAGUCUUCAGACAGAUGAAAUUAUACAAAUGGUACCAUUUUUUCAGGACUCAACAAAGGAUUAUAUCUGAAAUACUCCCACUGGACUACAAAGUGAUUAGGCAAAACUGGAAAUAUCUUGUACAGCUCUGAGUACCAGUUUUUGGUAGGAAGAGAGAUAAACUAGAACAUUAGAAAAGAGGAAGGAGAACAUUAGUAACAAUCACUAUUAAUUAUGUAUCAGAUCUGUGUUAAGCAUUUGUUACAGAUUAUUUUAUUCCUCCUUUACAUCUGCCCACCAUGGAAUAUAUCAUAUUUACCCUCAGCCUUGGAGAAGACUCAAGGGAAAGGCAGAUGAACACCAUCCUAAACAUGAAGGCCUGUAAAGGUCAAUGGGAUAAAGCUGCAGGUGGGCUUCUAUUAAAUAUAAACUAGCCAGUCAUAGGUCAGAGAGAGAGAAAAAAGAGACAGAAAUAUUCCAGGAGGAAGUGGGGAGAGAUUGAGCACUGGAUCUGCAGCAUAAUUUAAAGACUCUCAGAUUGGGCUAUGGCAUCAAACAGCUGUCUGUUUAUUGUAGUGUAUUUAGAUGUACUAGGAACUUUCUCUUAUUGCCAUGACAUGUUGAUAACCAGCACCAUUAGUGGAUACUGAUAUUACCUCUAACUUCUGCUGUGACAUCAGCUGGCAUUAAGUUCACCUUGUCUUUUCUGAAGAUAAAUCUAACUUCCUGAAAUGGAUAACUUUCAGCUAUCUUUCACAUAAUCUGCCUCUAAUAUCUACUGAAAACAAUCUCUAAGCAAAAGUUGCUGCAUACAGUCUUAGAAAUCAUUUAAAAAACAAAAAUGAGUAAGCCUUUACCUUCCCAUCAACUUCAUGUACCCUUAGUUGCUCAUGUCUGUUUUAUCCCUAAUAUCUUUUAUUACAGAAAUAUAGACAUUCCCUUUAAUAAAAACGUGGAGGCACAUCAACAGGAAAGCCUGUCAGUCUCAAAUUGCUUAGACUGAGCCUGAGUAAAAUCUAUUGAUUUCAUUUUCAAAUCUGAACACCCUUUCAAACUAUUAUAACUUGUUUUUGUUUUAUUUGAUUUAAUGUGUUGGCUAUUCCACCAAUAUUUCUAAGAUUUUCAGCAAUCUGGCAAUCUGAAAAUGCAUAUAAAGAACAAAAUGGUAGACUAAGGCUUGCCAAACUUUUAUUCUUCAAAAAGAAUUAUUUUUAAAAAAUGCGGAAACUAAACCAACAUUUUCAGAGCUCUGGAAAACAAUAAAAUGUUUAUAGCAAAUAAGUGAACACUCAAUCAAGAAAAACCCAUCUUAAAAGAAUAGAAAAAUUUUGUGGCAUUCGAAAUCACCCUCCUCCUGCCUCUCCCGGGCAUGACAGUGGUCUUCAGUUUGAGAUAGCAGCAGCCUGGUUUCCAGUUCCUUCCCUUCAAUUAGAGGAAGCAGAGCAGACCUUAUCUGAAAAUUACUGUGCCCAUCUCUUUUAACCUGCCUGGUAAAUGCACGAAGGAUUGACACAAAGUGCUCAUCUUUGUUUUGUCUAAUUCACAACUCAGGUGGAAAAGUGGCAGAUACUGCUCAUAAAAUGUGCAAGGUGACUACAGACCUGCAGCCACCUGGGCCAAGAGUUUAUAGGUAGAACAUACAAUAGACCAACUAAACUCUGGAGAAGAAACCAGGCUGAGGCUCUUUGGAAAAUUAGGACAUUCAGAAGCAGCCACAUUUACAGGGACGUUUAGAAGGCCAAGGACCUGUUCAGGUAGAUGCAUGCUCAAAAAAAUCCUGUGAAAACCUUACUCUUUCACCUCAGGCUGAUGUCUAGGCUCAGAAUAGGCCUUUGUUAAAGUGUUGGCUCUUCCAGAACAGAACCAGUUUGCAAAGACUGGGAAAGCUCCUGAAAUUGAAGAAAAUUUUAUCAAAAUAUAAGCUGAACACAAGCCAAAAGAGCAGAGACUUCCAUCAUCACAUGCCACAAGGAAUACCCUUUGCAAAAAUAAUUUGGAAAAUUCUCAAAACAAAUAGACCAUUAUAGCUUUCAACCAUUAAAAACAAAUAAACAAAGCAGGGAAAAUCCUGAGGAGAAGGAGAUUUUGUCAUAGAGUUACCACAGUAUAAUAAUCAAAUUUCUAAUUUUCAACAACAAAAUUCAUAAGAUAUACAAAGAAAUACAAAAACUUGGCCCAUUCCAAGAAGCAAAAUUAACUGACAGAAAUCAUCUUCUAGGAAGUCCAGACACUGAAAUUACUAGACAAAUGUUUAAAACAAUUGUCUACAAUAUGUUCAAAGAGUUAAAGGAAGGCAUGGGCAAGGGUAAUAAAAUAAAUUUAAAAAAGGGAAUAUGAACAAAAUGAGAAUGUCAACAAAAAGAUAGAACAUAUUGUUUUAAAGAAACAAAAAAUCUGGAGCUGAACAUUUCAAUAGUUGAAAUUUAAAAAUUUACUACAGAAGUACAAUAGCAGAUUUGAACAGGAAGAGAAAGAACUUGUGAGUCUGAAAAGAGAAAAACUAAAAUUAUUGUGUCUUAGGAGCAGAAAGACAAAGAAAUCAAGAAAAGUAAACAGAACUUAAUGGACUUGUAAGACACCCACAAGCUGAUCAACAUGUGCAUUUUGGGAUUCUGAGAAGGGGAAGAGAGAAAUAAAAGAACAAAAAAAAAGAUUAUUUGAAGAAAUAAUGGCUGAAUAUUUCUCAAACUUUAUAAAAUUAAUGAAUCUACAAAUCUAAGGAUUUCAAUAAACUCCAAGUAGCUAAACUUCAUAAGCCCACAUAGAGAUACAUUAUAAUCAAACUUGUAAAAGACAAAGAAUCUUGAAAGCAGCAAGAGAGAUGUGACUCCUCCACAUACCAGAUCCAGAAAAUCUGUCCUUCAAGAUUUGGGGAGAAAUCAAGAUAUUCCAUAAUAUGCUAAAUCUGUGAGAGUUUACUGCUACUAGACCUGCCCUACAAGAAAUGCCAAAGGGAGUCUUUAAGGUUGAAAUUUUAAAAAGCUACACAGUAACUCAAAGCUUCAUGAACAUAGAGUGAUCUCCAAUAAAUGUAAAUAUAACGUGUGGAGAAACAGAAAAAGGAGCCACUGUUAUAGUAAUUUUCAUUUGUAAUUGUACUUUGUAUUUACUAUAAGAUUUAAAAGACAAAUAUGUUAAUUAUUAUAAAUCAAUGUUAUUGGUCACAUAAUGCAUAAAGAUAUACUUUGUGACAUCAGAAACAUAAAAGAGAGCAGAAAGAGUAAAGUUGUAGAGUUACUACUUGCAAUAAUAGUUAAUUUGGCAUUAGUUGAAAUGAGAGUGUAAUAAUUUUAAGAUGUUAUAUAUAAUCCCCAGGGUAACUGCAAAUGAAAUAUCUAUAGUCUAUAUGCAAAAGAAAAUGAGAAGAGAAGCAAAACAUGUCAUUACACACACAAAAUUUCAACGGAACACAAAAUAAGCCAGUAAUGGAGGAAAUUAUGGCAAAUAACGAAAAGGCAAAAAUCUUCCAUUAUUAGGAAUUACCUUAAAUAUAAAUGGGUUAAACUAUCCAAUCAAAAGGCAGAGAUAGGUAAAAUGGAUAACAACACAAUUAAACAAACCGUUAUCCAACUCUAUGCUGCCUACAAAAUACUCACUUUAGACCUAAAGGGAUAAAUAGGAUAAAAUUGGAAGAAUGAAAAAACACACUUCACAUAAAUAGUAACCAGAGGAGAGCCGAGGGGGCGAUACUAUCAGAUAAAAUAGAUUUUAAGUCAGAAACUAUUCUAAGAGACAAAGAAGAAAAUCAUAUACUGAUAAAAUGAUAAGGUAAUAUGAAGACACCAAUUGUAAAUAUAUAUGCACCAAAUAACAGAGCCCCAACAUCUAUCAGGCAAACAUUGGUAGAACUGUAAGGAGAAAUAGUUCUACAACAAUAGCUGGAGACUUCUAUACUUCACUUUCAAUAACUGUCCUCUUCCCUACUGCCGAUCAUGUAAAUCUACCUACGUUUUCAUCCUUAUCCAUCCCUUGUUCUUCCCGUUAUCAUGGGGAAAUGCUCUCUCUCAUCACAUAUGUGUGAAUUUUCCAGUUCUCCUUCUGUUAUUUUUAGCUUCAUUCCAUAGUGAUUAAAAAAAUGUUGUAUAAUUUCAGUCUUUUAAAAUUGAUUAACACUUGUUUUGUAGCCUAAGAUAUGCUCUACACUGGGGACUAUUCCAUAUGUACUUGAGAAAAAUAUGUAUUCUGCUCUUGUUGGGUAGAGUGUUCUAUAUUUGUCUGUUAAAUCUAAUUUGUUUAUAGUGUUGUUCAAGUUCUCUUUUCUGUUAUGCAUCACUAGUAUAAAAUACAAUAAAAUAAAAAUUCAAUUUAAUUCCACAUCCCCUGCCAGAUCCCCAUUCUUUCAAACUCAAUUCUUGAAAGACUAGGGAUGGAAGAUGUAUGUGGAUUUGCAGGAUUGGCAGUGGGGCAAAGAUAACAUUUAUUUGUGAAGCUUACUGUUCUGAGAAGGAGGAUAUGAUGUCAUCUACUUUAGAUGAGAAGGAAGUUAAAGUGUUGUAUGUGUUAGAGGAAAGAGGGAAAAGUCUUCAAGAGUUGUUAAGUUUGAAGGUAAGAUUUGGCUAGUUUUGAUGGUAAUUGGAGUUUAGAAGCUGUUGUUUUGAUUUUAGUAAGCCAGAACUCAAUCUAAUGUGCUUUAGGUUUCCAAACAUUAUUUAGAGGCCAUUCUCCUAGAUGAACUGUGGGACCCUACUCAAUUUAUGUUUUAUUAUUUAUUUAUUACAUAAACUCAGAUGCUUAUAAAACACUUUAGGCAGUUUAAACUGUCAAUUUUAUUUAUUUUAAUUGCCUAUUUCUAUAAAAGCCUAAGGUCAAAUGUAAAAAAUAAGACAGGUUUAAAACAGCAUAAAGAAUAUACAAAUAUAUGUUUCACAUAUCUGGAAUCAUUUAAUUAAUUAAUAUAUUUAGCUAGGGGCUUCCUGGCAAACAAAGCAAAAGGGAUACACAUUGAAAUAUAGAUUUUAUAUCAUAUAAAGGAAAUCUCCUGGGAAAAAAUAAUUUUUCUGGUACUAAACUUCUAGCACAAACAGUGUCAUAUAGAUCUUCAUCUAUGGGACAUUAAGUGAUAUGAUGGGCAAUGUCUUCAACUCUGACCUUCUGAAAAUACAGAACAUUCUUCGAAAGGUCUUGUAAUACCUUCCUAUGAAGGCUGAGAAUAUAAUGUUAAAUCUCAACUCAAAGAAGACAUUGCUUUGAAAAAUUAAGAUUUUAUUGCCCUGGUAGUUGUGGUUUGAUGAUUUACUUUAAUCUGAAGAUAAAACUUUGGGUUCUUAGAGGGGAGGAGAGAUGACUAAUUUGUGCCUCCAUCCACCACGCUGAAAUAUUUUCUGUCUUUAGCCGGUCUUUGGCAGGAAUGAAUGUAAGAUAAAUUUCUCGUUGAAUAUUCAGACAGGAGUCUACAAAUGUUAGAUAGUCUUCCAGCUCACUAAAUGCAUUCUUCAGUUGUGCUUCCUGCACUAUUCAUUCACGGGAUUGAAAUUUUAUUACUAUUUUUAUCAGUAUUAUAAUCAAUACUAUUUUUAUAAUCAUAAUUUUAUUUCUGAACUCUUUAAUUGCCUUUGUAGUGGACUGCCUAGCUUCUUACAUCUCUUUUAGGGUUUUAACUGUGGUAUUUAUUUAUGUAUUUAUUUAUGAGACAGAGUCUCUCUCAGUCGCCCAGGCUGGAGUGCAGUGGUGUGAUCUCGGGUCACUGAAACCUCCGCCUCCUCAGUUCAAGCAAUUCUCCUGCCUCAGCCUCCUGAGUAGCUGGGACUACAGGCGUGCGCCACCACGCCCCGGGUUAUUUUUGCAUUUUAGUAGAGACAGGGUUUCACCAUGUUGCCCCGGCUGGUCUCACAUGCCUGACCUCAGGUGAUCAACUGGCCUCAGCCUCCCAAAGUGCUGGGAUUACAGGCGUGAGCCACUGCACCUGGCCAACUGUGCUUAUUUUAAUAUAUUGAUCUGUUUGCUCUGUUUCCCAAAGUUGUGGAGAUAGGUAUCUUUCUUGUCUUUGUCCAAUUGUGUGUGUUUCUUGUUCAUAUGCACUAGUUUAUGCAUCUAAUUACAGAGGCCUUCCUCAGUGAUGAAGAGAAAAUACCUUUUAAGUAUGAAAGCUUUAUUUCCAGCCUGGGUGUUACCGUACUGUUUCCUGAUCCCUUCAGAAAGUUUAGAGUUGUAAAGGGCUUGGUGGCCUAGACCCUCCAGAUAUGGCAUCCGAAGUGUCAUCCCAUAGAGUACCCUUUCUGCUAUCUCUCUUUGGAGCACCCCAGGACAUAAUUCUACCUUCCAUAAAAGUUCUCUCCUGAUAGAUUUCUGGCUCUUGUCCCCUUCUUAAGUCCAAUUUAACAUGCCUUCCAUCUUUAAGGUAUAUAUUUUAAAUUUCUGAUUCAAUAUGAAUUUCUUUUUUCUCAGGUAAAAUAAGUUUAACAAUAAAUUGCUGUAAUCACUAGGUAUUUGAGGCAGGGGACGAGGAGGACAUUGCCAGAUAUGUUACAUCUGUCAUCUUGUUUAAAUUCUUGAUGGUUUCUGUGGGGUUGAGACUAUUAAAGAAAUAAACACUUAAUUAAAUGGCUCCAUGAAAAGGUACUUCUGAUGAGUAGAAGUCCCAAAAUCUGAUUUUAAACAUGACCAGAUUUUACAUACAGAAUAAUAUAAAGGAUUUACUCUAUUGAUUCAUGAAGCUGAAAAUGAACAAACCUAACAUUUAAAUUAUGAUUUUCUGUAGCUGAGACCUCUUUUUCAUAGCUCAUUGAGUAUUUUGUAGAGUAUAACUGCCUGCACAGAAAAUACUCAUUCACUGAUUUUUAUAUGGAUCUUUUUAUUUAGAAAAAUAGUUGUCAACUGCUUUUACAUUCAAACAUUCUGAAAAUUAAGUUUUAUUUUUCAGAUAAUCUAAAUUAUUUUUAUCUUCUACGGUACUUCUCAUAACAAUAAUGCUUACAGUAAUUUAAGAGAGAUUUUACAUUUGUAAACUGUAAAAUGCUGUUAAGAGAUGACACGCUGUUUUUGUUUCACAGCCUGCAAUCUCAAAAUUUGAUAAAGUGGUUGUUUGAUCAAUACCUGAGCUUAAGAAAAAAAUAGACAAAUACUUUUCUUUCACAGAUAAUAUGGAAAUGCUUAUUGAAGGCAUCAGUAGUUUUCAAGCAUUUCCAAUAGCCUGUGGGUCACCACCUCCACAGUAUGAAACAAGAAGCAAUAGUGUUACUGUUUGUGUCCACGAUUCCCGGGAUAAGUGACUUAGUUGCGUUCAUUUUUGCCUCUUGAAUCUUUCUCUACUAAGUCCAUGUGAAACACACAAACAUUCACAUGCACAUUAAGAAAAAUGAUGUCAAUCACUUUCAUGCUUUUCCGUUUCUUUUAUUUCUUGGUACAAAGGAUCACAACCUAAAUGUGGAUUAUUCAUAAGACAGAUAUCAUGUUAAACAGGAAUGUAUGCUUUCAAUAUGAAUAAUGGUCUCUAAAGAAUAAAAAAAGUGCCUGCUUUCAAACACAGGUGACCUAGUGAGCACUUUCUAAAUGACUAGGGGAACUCAGUUUUUUCUUCUGGAAAAUGGAAUUGAUAAUAUUAAAUAUUUGGUGAAGGGCUAUUUGGAUGUGGAACCGCAUAAAUUAUAUUCAUGAUAUUGGUAUCUGAUAAUUGCAUUUCCAAUAGGAAUUACAAUUAAGACUCUUGCAAUAUGACAUACUUUUGAUCAUUUUAAUUUCCUUUGUGAUUGCAGAGAAUGAUAAUUCUUUGGGGGACUUGACUCCAAUUUUCACAUUACAAAAGAAAAGUUUGGAUAAUGGAAUAAUGCAGAGAUGAAGGAAGUCUUGAUCUCCAAUCGCUUAUUUCCCCCUUUUCCAUUUCUGCAGUGGGGAUGCCACCUGUGUUCUGCUCAUUAUAAAACUUUUAGCAAGAGGCUAAUGAAAUGCAAAGCUUUCUAUAAGACCAGCACCAGCCUGCCUAUCAAAUCGUCUGAAAUAUUUAUUUGCCCUCUUGAAUAAUUGAUAGGGGCAUCAGCUCUCCCGGUCAAUUGAUUUAUUAAGGGACUGUUUGGAAUUAAACAGCUUAAAGAUAUUAGAUUUAGCAGUGAUCUUGCUUGUUAGCAUAUUCAUUUACCUACAGGAGCUCCCAUUAGAUAUUGUUAAUACAUGACGUCUCUAGUCACGGCCUGUAUCUCCUCAAAUUGCAUUAACGCCAGGCUGUUUAGCCACAGAAUAACAGGUUUGAUUGAGUGCUUGGGUUUGGUGUAAUUAGAUUUUCCUAGAAGAGGGGGGACUACUUUAAUGCCAUAUGCAUUAAACUAGAUAUGUCAUCAGCAUUACUGUAAUUGGUGAACAGGAACGCUGGAGACCUGGCUGUAUGUGAAUGUUUGUGUUUAUGGCUCACCCGUCCAUUCUCAUAGAUGGCACAUAAUAGCUAUGCUUACUUACAUAUGCAUGAUCCUGAGGGGGAAAAAAACCUGACCUCUUUAAUAAGCAUCUCUUUUGAAAAAGGUGGAAAAUUCUAUCCUGAGUAAUGGGAUCAAUUUUUCGUCUGUUAAAACUGCCAAUUAUUUCUCUUACUGAAAAGGUCAUGUGGCUGGUUAAUCAAUGAUGAAAAUAGUAUGGGAAUAUAUGUGGGUAUAUUCAUGUGUUUGAUUUGCAUUUCACUCUAAGACUAUCUGCUUCGGUUUCCAAUUGUUAUCCUGAUUGGGGGCCACAAACACACCAGCAGAGCUCUCUUUCCCCAGUGUUUUCUCUAAGGAAUUACACCUUCUUAUUAACAGAGAUGCAUAGAGAAAAUGAAAUCAUUUCUGGUCACUUUUCCCUUUUGGAGCUAAUUCAGUAUGUGCAAAGAAGCACUAACUUUGCACAUUCAGGAACAAUGUAUCCCCCUAUAGCAACCUGUGUAGUGGGAGAACGUGGGAGUGUGAAUGAAACUAGCGUUAGACCAAUUGAAAGGUAAGCCAAUUUUUCUUUCCUAUUUCCAUGUUCAUUUACUGUCUGUCUUCCCCAGGCUGUAAGAGCCCUUUGGAUUACAUCCCAAGUAUCCACAACUUAAACAGGGAGGCACACUUGGAACUUACCUUUCUCUUUCUGUGAAUCGCCUUUUCUACAUUAAAGUUAUGAAAAUAUAAUAUGUUUGGCCGGGCUUGGUGGCUCAUGCCUGUAAUCCCAGCACUUUGGAGGCCAAAGUGGGAGGAUCACUUGAGGUCAGGAGUUCGAGACCAGCCUGGCCAACAUGGUGAAACUCCAUCUCUAUUAAAAAUACAAAAAUUAGCCAGGUGUGGUGGUGGGCACCUGUAAUCCCAGUUACUAGGGAGGCUAAGGCAGGAGAAUCACUUGAACCCUGGAGGUGCAGGUUGCAGUGAGCCGAGAUCACACUACUAAAUGCCAGCCUGGAGAUAUAUAUAUAUAUAUAGAGAGAGAGAGACAGAGAGAGAGAGAGAGAAAACUUAUAUGUAUAUAGAUAUAUAUAUAUAGAAAGCUUAUAUAUACACAUAUAUAUUAUGUGUACGUAUGUUUAUAUAUGUAUAUACACGUGUGUGUGUGUUUGUGUGUAUAUAUAUAUAUAUAUAUGCCUUCUUCCGCAGUUCCUUAAGACCUUGAUUGCACACAAAAAAAUGAAAAGAUUAUUUCAUUUUAUGUUACAUAUAUAUCAAUAAGUAAUAAUAAAACUUAUAGGUAACCUUGCUAUCCACAAGGCAGGGACCCAUAGGUUGUCCCAUUUAUGGUGACGUUUGGUUAAAGACUACAUUUGGUUAAAGACUCUGAGGUCUACAUUUGGUUAAAGACUCAGGCUCCGGGAGAUCAAGCUACCUCUCUGAGUUCACAAAGCUAAUAAAAGCAGAAUCAAAAUUUGAAUCAUUUUAAUGUCCAUGCCCUUCCCACUAUAACAUGCUGCCUACUUAAUGACAUUGACAGUGAUCAGGCAUUUUUUUUUUGAAGCUGACUUCUUAAUGUAAAGGAGGAGCCUAGAUUGGUUUAAUUUUGGUGAUCAGAUAGGCUAAUUUAAAUGGCCAUCACCUUGGCAGAUGUGUAAGAUUGAUUUUUAGGGUAAGGAGGAGUUUAGGGAAGGGAUAAUCACAGUUCUCCUGACUGAUGUCUGAUACUUGAGGGAGAUGGUGAAAGGGGAAUUAGAAAGCUUAGUAAGUGACUUGGUGUCCUUUAAAUUCUGUAUAGGUGACUUUGACUCUCUUAACACCGCAAGUACUUUCCUGGGGUUGAAGAGCAGCGGCAGCUCCAAUGCUUAUAUAGAAGGGGAUUAAGGUAGCAAUCAUUGGAAGAAACCUUGUUUAAAACUAUGUCUAUAUAGCCAACACCACACUUUUACUAGGGUUGGGGACCCGUGCAGAUUAUAUGGCAGAGUUUAAAGUACUGCCCCAACCCCCACUUCUGAUCAUACCCAUCUGAUGAGAGAGGAAGAAGGCUGGCAAAAAAGCAAGAGUUACCUGAAAUUUAAUUCCACUGACAAGUUGCAGGACUGACACGAUCCUUCUUGGCUGUAAACAAAAUUAGUGUAAAGAUAUGUAUGAAAGAAGUCUCCUCUAAAUUUGAGAUGACUUUCUAGAUCUCCAAAUGAACGUCUCAUAGCAAAAUGAUUCCUCAAUUUUUAGAAAAGCUUAUGAACAAUGAGUUACAUCAG